rnacentral:rRNA from 1 species
AUUCGAAGCAACGCGCAGAACCUUACCAACCCUUGACAUCCCGGGACCGGUCCAGAGAUGGAUCUUUCACUUCGGUGACUCGGUGACAGGUGCUGCAUGGCUGUCGUCAGCUCGUGUCGUGGGAUGUUCGGUUAAGUCCGGCAACGAGCGCAACCCACAUCCCUAGUUGCCAGCAGUUCGGCUGGGCACUCUAUGGAAACUGCCCGUGAUAAGCGGGAGGAAGGUGUGGAUGACGUCAAGUCCUCAUGGCCCUUACGGGUUGGGCUACACACGUGCUACAAUGGCAGUGACAAUGGGUUAAUCCCAAAAAACUGUCUCAGUUCGGAUUGGGGUCUGCAACUCGACCCCAUGAAGUCGGAAUCGCUAGUAAUCGCGUAACAGCAUGACGCGGUGAAUACGUUCCCGGGCCUUGUACACACCGCCCGUCACACCAUGGGAGUUGGUUCUACCCGACGGCCGUGCGCUAACCUUUUGGAGGCAGCGGACCACGGUAGGAUCAGCGACUGGGGUGAAGUCGUAACAAGGUAGCCGUAA